AGCCCAGAGCCUGAAUCAGUGUGUGUGUUAGUGGAAGCGUCUGGAAAGGCGCGCGAUACAGGGUGACAGCCCCGUACACAAAAAUGCACAUACUGUGAGCUCGAUGAGUAGGGCGGGACACGUGGUAUCCUGUCUGAAUAUGGGGGGACCAUCCUCCAAGGCUAAAUACUCCUGACUGACCGAUAGUGAACCAGUACCGUGAGGGAAAGGCGAAAAGAACCCCGGCGAGGGGAGUGAAAAAGAACCUGAAACCGUGUACGUACAAGCAGUGGGAGCCUCUUUAUGGGGUGACUGCGUACCUUUUGUAUAAUGGGUCAGCGACUUAUAUUCUGUAGCAAGGUUAACCGAAUAGGGGAGCCGAAGGGAAACCGAGUCUUAACUGGGCGUUAAGUUGCAGGGUAUAGACCCGAAACCCGGUGAUCUAGCCAUGGGCAGGUUGAAGGUUGGGUAACACUAACUGGAGGACCGAACCGACUAAUGUUGAAAAAUUAGCGGAUGACUUGUGGCUGGGGGUGAAAGGCCAAUCAAACCGGGAGAUAGCUGGUUCUCCCCGAAAGCUAUUUAGGUAGCGCCUCGUGAAUUCAUCUCCGGGGGUAGAGCACUGUUUCGGCAAGGGGGUCAUCCCGACUUACCAACCCGAUGCAAACUGCGAAUACCGGAGAAUGUUAUCACGGGAGACACACGGCGGGUGCUAACGUCCGUCGUGAAGAGGGAAACAACCCAGACCGCCAGCUAAGGUCCCAAAGUCAUGGUUAAGUGGGAAACGAUGUGGGAAGGCCCAGACAGCCAGGAUGUUGGCUUAGAAGCAGCCAUCAUUUAAAGAAAGCGUAAUAGCUCACUGGUCGAGUCGGCCUGCGCGGAAGAUGUAACGGGGCUAAACCAUGCACCGAAGCUGCGGCAGCGACACUAUGUGUUGUUGGGUAGGGGAGCGUUCUGUAAGCCUGUGAAGGUGUACUGUGAGGUAUGCUGGAGGUAUCAGAAGUGCGAAUGCUGACAUAAGUAACGAUAAAGCGGGUGAAAAGCCCGCUCGCCGGAAGACCAAGGGUUCCUGUCCAACGUUAAUCGGGGCAGGGUGAGUCGACCCCUAAGGCGAGGCCGAAAGGCGUAGUCGAUGGGAAACAGGUUAAUAUUCCUGUACUUGGUGUUACUGCGAAGGGGGGACGGAGAAGGCUAUGUUGGCCGGGCGACGGUUGUCCCGGUUUAAGCGUGUAGGCUGGUUUUCCAGGCAAAUCCGGAAAAUCAAGGCUGAGGCGUGAUGACGAGGCACUACGGUGCUGAAGCAACAAAUGCCCUGCUUCCAGGAAAAGCCUCUAAGCAUCAGGUAACAUCAAAUCGUACCCCAAACCGACACAGGUGGUCAGGUAGAGAAUACCAAGGCGCUUGAGAGAACUCGGGUGAAGGAACUAGGCAAAAUGGUGCCGUAACUUCGGGAGAAGGCACGCUGAUAUGUAGGUGAAGUCCCUCGCGGAUGGAGCUGAAAUCAGUCGAAGAUACCAGCUGGCUGCAACUGUUUAUUAAAAACACAGCACUGUGCAAACACGAAAGUGGACGUAUACGGUGUGACGCCUGCCCGGUGCCGGAAGGUUAAUUGAUGGGGUUAGCGGUAACGCGAAGCUCUUGAUCGAAGCCCCGGUAAACGGCGGCCGUAACUAUAACGGUCCUAAGGUAGCGAAAUUCCUUGUCGGGUAAGUUCCGACCUGCACGAAUGGCGUAAUGAUGGCCAGGCUGUCUCCACCCGAGACUCAGUGAAAUUGAACUCGCUGUGAAGAUGCAGUGUACCCGCGGCAAGACGGAAAGACCCCGUGAACCUUUACUAUAGCUUGACACUGAACAUUGAGCCUUGAUGUGUAGGAUAGGUGGGAGGCUUUGAAGUGUGGACGCCAGUCUGCAUGGAGCCGGCCUUGAAAUACCACCCUUUAAUGUUUGAUGUUCUAACGUUGGCCCCUGAUCGGGGUUGCGGACAGUGUCUGGUGGGUAGUUUGACUGGGGCGGUCUCCUCCUAAAGAGUAACGGAGGAGCACGAAGGUUGGCUAAUCCUGGUCGGACAUCAGGAGGUUAGUGCAAUGGCAUAAGCCAGCUUGACUGCGAGCGUGACGGCGCGAGCAGGUGCGAAAGCAGGUCAUAGUGAUCCGGUGGUUCUGAAUGGAAGGGCCAUCGCUCAACGGAUAAAAGGUACUCCGGGGAUAACAGGCUGAUACCGCCCAAGAGUUCAUAUCGACGGCGGUGUUUGGCACCUCGAUGUCGGCUCAUCACAUCCUGGGGCUGAAGUAGGUCCCAAGGGUAUGGCUGUUCGCCAUUUAAAGUGGUACGCGAGCUGGGUUUAGAACGUCGUGAGACAGUUCGGUCCCUAUCUGCCGUGGGCGCUGGAGAACUGAGGGGGGCUGCUCCUAGUACGAGAGGACCGGAGUGGACGCAUCACUGGUGUUCGGGUUGUCAUGCCAAUGGCACUGCCCGGUAGCUAAAUGCGGAAGAGAUAAGUGCUGAAAGCAUCUAAGCACGAAACUUGCCCCGAGAUGAGUUCUCCCUGACUCCUUGAGAGUCCUGAAGGAACGUUGAAGACGACGACGUUGAUAGGCCGGGUGUGUAAGCGCAGCGAUGCGUUGAGCUAACCGGUACUAAUGAACCGUGAGGCUUAACCUUACAACGCCGAAG
rnacentral:rRNA from 1 species